UUAUGAUUUUGUUACAAGAAAUAUAGAAUGCAUAGAAAUAAUACACAAUAGUAUCAGCCAUUAUCAAGCUGUUAAGCAUAUUUCAAGGACAUCUAAAAAAACAGUAAGGCAAAAUUUCCUUUUUCUUUUUUAAAUUGUAAGGUUACAGGACUAAAAAUAUAUUUAGAAUAACUGGAAUCCUAAAAUCUUCUACUUGAUAACUAAUAAUAAAUUAUUUAAUAGGAAAACUCUAUGUUUCAGUAUAGAAAAUUUAUCUCCUAACUUACUGUGCCAAAUCAUCCAAAAAACUUCAUUUUUUUUCUAAAAGAUAUACAUGUGAUCUGAUAUUUACUAUUAAAAAGAUAUAAAUGUGUAAAAAAAACUGGAUUUCUAACUUCUUCAUUUUAGAAGACAGGAGGAACCAGUCAUAAAUGAAUAUAAGUAACACUGUCCUAACG
rnacentral:lncRNA from 1 species